rnacentral:rRNA from 1 species
CACGAACCGUACAAACGUUAUUCGGAAUUACUGGGCUUAAAGGGUGCGUAGGCGGCCCGGAAAGUUGGAUGUGAAAUCCCUCGGCUCAACCGAGGAAUUGCGUUCAAAACUGCCGGGCUCGAGGAAGACAGAGGUGAGUGGAACUUAGGGUGGAGCGGUGAAAUGCGUUGAUAUCCUAAGGAACACCAGUGGCGAAAGCGACUCACUGGGUCUUUUCUGACGCUGAGGCACGAAAGCCAGGGGAGCGAACGGG